AAGUCGUAACAAGGUUUCCGUAGGUGAACCUGCGGAAGGAUCAUUAACACGUAUCCAAACGUUAAAACCCCCCCCGUGAACCUUCAUCCUGCUCUUGUAACCCGCGUAGUUCGCAAUCUCUGAUAAAUCAUAGCCCGGAAAGUUGUAGUGAUUCAGAGACCUCUGGCUACGUGCGAACAUUGGAACAGUUACAAUCGAGCGGUAGUUCUAUAGGCAAUGUUUCCCCAAGCAGUCAGUGUGGGAAAGUGUCAUUGAUUGCGCAAGGAUAGCGCUUCUACGAUUCCUGUAGACCUAAUAACCCCACGGUUUAAUGUGAAGCUCAAUGUAAUACAUUGGGUAAAAAAACCGAACAACUGUUAACAAUGGAUAUCUUGGUUCUC
rnacentral:misc_RNA from 1 species